rnacentral:SRP_RNA from 1 species
UGCAGCCGGGGAGCCAGCGGUGCCCUGUACCUGCAAUCCGCUAUAGCAGGGGUGAUGCCGAACAGAGGGAUACGCGUCGCGGAGCCGCCUUUUAUAAGUGGCGUUGACGUUUGGGUCUUGCGCAACAUGGACUCAUGAACCGUGUCAGGGCAGGAAUGCAGCAGCACUAAGUGAAAAUCCGUGUGUGCCGCAAGGUCGCCUGAGCCGAGUUAACUGUAAAAGUAACGUCUGCGGUAGUAUUUCGAAGUAAGGCGCACGG